UACGUAGGGUGCGAGCGUUGUCCGGAAUUACUGGGCGUAAAGAGCUCGUAGGUGGUUUGUCGCGUUGUCCGUGAAAACUCACAACUCAAUUGUGGGCGUGCGGGCGAUACGGGCAGACUGGAGUACUGCAGGGGUGACUGGAAUUCCUGGUGUAGCGGUGGAAUGCGCAGAUAUCAGGAGGAACACCGAUGGCGAAGGCAGGUCACUGGGCCGCAACUGACGCUGAGGAGCGAAAGCAUGGGGAGCGAACAGG
rnacentral:rRNA from 1 species